rnacentral:rRNA from 1 species
UCAACGACCGUACCGCAAACCGACACUGGUGCGCGAGAUGAGUAUUCUAAGGCGCUUGAGAGAACUCAGGAGAAGGAACUCGGCAAAUUGACACCGUAACUUCGGAAGAAGGUGUGCCCUAUUAGUGUGAAGUGAACAACGGAGCAUGAAUGGGUUGCAAAAAAUCGGUGGCUGCGACUGUUUAUUAAAAACACAGCACUCUGCAAACACGAAAGUGGACGUAUAGGGUGUGACGCCUGCCCGGUGCUGGAAGAUUAAAUGAUGGGGUGCAAGCUCUUGAUUGAAGUCCCAGUAAACGGCGGCCGUAACAAUAACGGUCCUAAGGUAGCGAAAUUCCUUGUCGGGUAAGUUCCGACCUGCACGAAUGGCGUAACGAUGGCCACACUGUCUCCUCCUGAGACUCAGCGAAGUUGAAAUGUUUGUGAUGAUGCAAUCUCCCCGCGGAAAGACGGAAAGACCCCAUGAACCUUUACUGUAGCUUUGUAUUGGACUUUGAACAGAUCUGUGUAGGAUAGGUGGGGGGCUUUGAAGCAGGGUCGCUAGAUCUUGUGGAGCCAACGUUGAAAUACCACCCUGGUGUGUUUGAGGUUCUAACCUAGGUCCAUUAUCUGGAUCGGGGACAGUGCAUGGUAGGCAGUUUGACUGGGGCGGUCUCCUCCCAAAGCGUAACGGAGGAGUUCGAAGGUACGCUAGUUACGGUCGGACAUCGUGACGAUAGUGCAAUGGCAUAAGCGUGCUUAACUGCGAGACUGACAAGUCGAGCAGAUGCGAAAGCAGGACAUAGUGAUCCGGUGGUUCUGUAUGGAAGGGCCAUCGCUCAACGGGUAAAAGGUACUCUGGGGAUAACAGGCUGAUACCGCCCAAGAGUUCAUAUCGACGGCGGUGUUUGGCACCUCGAUGUCGGCUCAUCUCAUCCUGGGGCUGUAGCCGGUCCCAAGGGUAUGGCUGUUCGCCAUUUAAAGAGGUACGUGAGCUGGGUUUAAAACGUCGUGAGACAGUUUGGUCCCUAUCUUCCGUGGGCGCUGCAGAUUUGAGGAAGCCUGCUCCUAGUACGAGAGGACCGGAGUGGACACACCUCUGGUGUAUCGGUUGUCACGCCAGUGGCAUUGCCGAGUAGCUAAGUGUGGAAGAGAUAACCGCUGAAAGCAUCUAAGCGGGAAACUCGUUUCAAGAUGAGAUCUGCCGGGGCCUUGAGCCCCCUGAAGAGUCGUUCGAGACCAGGACGUUGAUAGGUCAGGUGUGGAAGCGCAGUAAUGCGUUAAGCUAACUGAUACUAAUUGCUCGUGCGGCUUGAGC